GUGGGUUCCCCUUUGAGUUCUCCUAUAUAAUAAGCAAAUCUUAUAUUUUUUUCAUCCCUUGCUUGGUCCUAAAUCCCCACCCACUCAAAUCCCUUUUACAUCAGUUUUCUUUCUCCAUUUUUAUAUGCUAAUGUUCUCCGAAAGUCAGUGCCCUCUUUAGUCUUUGAGCCCCCCUUUUCCCCUACUCCUCUCUCUCACAAUACAUAAUUGGGUUUUUUUUGUUUUUUUUUUAAUUUCUUAUGGUUUUAACCCCUACCCUACCCCAUUUUUAAAACUAGCUAACUAGAUACAUUUUUAUAUAGAGCUGAAAUGGGUUAAUAAUUGGGAUCUAGGCGCGGUUGUAAGAAGCUGCAACAUUAAUAGACCUAACAACAUUGUAGUUCCUAAUUUAGGCAUAGAGUCACUGCCUUUUGAAAAUGAUGAUGAUUGAAAUCUUUUUGACGGACUUUUAGAUGAUGACUGUGACGAUAUAUCUUUCAAAGGCUUAGUAGAAAUUUUUUCUAGGAAUUUUCCGAUCACUCAACAGCAAAAACCAAAUGAUCAAUCUUUUUCGAUCAUUCACCCUACAAACCCCGUCCCCCUUCAACUAAUUAGCAAACCAAUAAUUCUUCCUCCUGCACCACCAGCAGAACAACGUGUGUCAACAACCGCACAACAAUUGAUUAAUCCACAACAACAACUGGUGAAGCGAGCUUUAGUUCAUCCUACUUUAACUGUGCCCAAUAGAACUAGUCUGAUCCAGACUCGUAGAAGGAAAAAUCAACCGAUAAAAAUUAUCUUUGAAUUGAGGCAAGAGGAACUCGUAGAUGAUACAUGGCAUGGCAGAAGUACGGUCAAAAGCCAAUAAAAACUUCUCCAUUCCCGAGGAACUACUACAGGUGUGGCACCUUAAAAAGUUGGAGAGUCAAGAAACACAUUGAGAAAAGCCCAAAGGGUGAAAAUCUUUUUGUUGUGGCCUAUCAUGGUGAACAUAAACAUCCUCCCCCGCUUACUAAUGACCGCAACUGUCUCACUGGCGCGGUGCCAAAAAUAAGCUUCCCAACGGCAUAAAUAUUGUUCCUAGAGCAUUAAACUUUAAUGUAUCCUCCUCUAAUCGCUCUCAACGACAUUCAAGUGUUUCUCCAAUUAGCUCAACUAUUCCUACACUUGAAAUCAAGAGUGCAUCCCCAAACAAAAAUAAAAUGGUGGUGGCGGAGAAAAAAGGUGACGAAGAGGAGAAAGUUAUUUUAAUUUCUAAUAAAUUCGCGAGUGAAGAUAUCUCAAGAGGUUUGAAGAAUUGAAAGGAAUUACUAGUCAACACUCAACUCCAUACAAUAAAGUUGGUCAAACCACCACUAUGUAGAACUUACCUUUAAGCCUUGGAGACACCAGGUUUUACUUAUUUUGUUUUUGAAAAUUAUAACGCCCUUGGUAUCCAUGUCAUUCGACGUCAAGAGUUUUGUUUAUUACGUUUGCACAAAGAAUAUUAUUAUACAUACUGCUCUCAACUAAAAACAUAUUUUAAAUUAGAGUAAAUAGGGGA